UCAGGCCUAACACAUGCAAGUCGAACGGCAGCACGGGAGCAAUCCUGGUGGCGAGUGGCGAACGGGUGAGUAAUACAUCGGAACGUGCCCAGUAGUGGGGGAUAGCCCGGCGAAAGCCGGAUUAAUACCGCAUACGACCUACGGGUGAAAGCGGGGGACCGCAAGGCCUCGCGCUAUUGGAGCGGCCGAUGUCAGAUUAGCUAGUUGGUGGGGUAAAGGCCUACCAAGGCGACGAUCUGUAGCUGGUCUGAGAGGACGACCAGCCACACUGGGACUGAGACACGGCCCAGACUCCUACGGGAGGCAGCAGUGGGGAAUUUUGGACAAUGGGGGCAACCCUGAUCCAGCCAUGCCGCGUGCGGGAAGAAGGCCUUCGGGUUGUAAACCGCUUUGUCGGGGAAGAAACGGUCUGCGCUAAUACCGCGGACUA
rnacentral:rRNA from 1 species